AUGCAAUUGUGACAUAUGGCAGAACCAAGCACUUAGGAGAUGUGACUCCAUACUCCUGCCUUGGUGCUGCCCCUCGGGUUGGAGGGGGGAGGAUUGCAACAUAUUACUGGGCCUUGCAUCCAAGUAAUGUGUGAUUGUGGCAUAUGUCUUUGCCCAUACCCUGAGUGAUUUUAGUUCCCUGCCUGAGCCCAGCCCACAGAUGGAAUUGUGACAUAUACCAAGGCCAAGCACCAGGGUGGGAUUGUGACAUACACCUGGGACAUGCUCACUGGUGCAAUGAUGACAGUCAUACUUCAACCCACCAAACAGGAGAAAUAUUGAUUCUCUCUACUAGGCUUUGGGCAACAGGUGGGGUAGUGACUCUUGAGAAAGAAUUCAACAUGCCCGUGAGCCUGUGACUUUCAUACCAGGACACUGUCUUUGGGUGGGAUUGGGACUCUCAUUCACAGAUUCAAUAUAUCAUUGAAAUGGUGA